AUCCGCGCGUAGCGCGGACACGAAACUAGUAACAACAACAACACAUAGUAUACACAUUGCACAGCUUCUUGUAAUUCACCGACUCUUCACUUUCUUCUCAUCCAAAUCAAAAACACACACAGUGCUUCCCUCUCUUUCCUUUUAUUGAUUUGUUCUCCCCAUCCAUGCACUGUUUCCAAGUUUCUUCAUCCAGAUUCAAUCUUACUCUUCUCACAAACCUCCUUCUUGGGCUCUCCUGCAUUUUUCUCCCCUGUUCUUCUCUAACACUGACUUAAAAAGAUGUUCUUCGAAAUGGGUUUCUCCGGUUUGAAGUAGUUUAUAAGCUGUUUCCCCCUUAAACCGGGUUUGAGCUCAAAAUCUUUCAGAACUCCAAGUGUUUGACGAAUUGACUCAACCAAAACAGAGGAAACAGAGCAAACUAUGGAAGAGACGUUUGUGCCGUUUGAAGGAAUCAAGAAUGAUCUCAAAGGCAGACUCAUGUGCUACAAGCAAGACUGGACCGGUGGAUUCAAAGCUGGCUUUAGGAUUCUAGCUCCCACCACUUACAUAUUCUUCGCCUCUGCGAUUCCUGUCAUCUCCUUCGGUGAACAGCUCGAAAGAAACACUGAUGGAGUUCUCACGGCUGUUCAGACCUUAGCAUCCACCGCCAUUUGCGGCAUCAUUCACUCUGUUAUCGGAGGUCAGCCACUGCUUAUACUCGGUGUUGCAGAGCCGACUGUUAUUAUGUAUACAUUCAUGUUUAACUUCGCAAAGGCUAGACCUGAACUGGGACGAGACCUCUUCUUGGCUUGGUCUGGAUGGGUUUGUGUUUGGACUGCUUUGAUGCUGUUUGUGAUGGCUAUAUGUGGAGCUUGUUCCAUCAUCAACAGGUUCACCCGUGUAGCUGGGGAGUUGUUUGGACUGCUUAUCGCUAUGCUCUUCAUGCAACAAGCCAUCAAAGGGCUAGUGGAUGAAUUUCGCAUUCCCGAACGAGAAAAUCAGAAGCUGAUGGAGUUCUUACCUUCCUGGAGGUUCGCUAAUGGGAUGUUUGCUCUGGUUCUCUCCUUUGGUCUUCUGCUAACCGGACUUAGAAGCCGAAAAGCUAGAUCAUGGCGGUACGGUACUGGCUGGCUCAGAAGCUUAAUAGCAGACUAUGGUGUACCACUGAUGGUACUAGUGUGGACCGGUGUCUCCUACAUUCCAUCAGGAGAUGUUCCAAAAGGAAUCCCCAGGCGGCUUCUUAGCCCAAAUCCUUGGUCUCCUGGUGCUUAUGGAAACUGGACCGUAGCAAAGGAGAUGCUUGAUGUUCCAAUCGUUUACAUAAUAGGAGCUUUCAUUCCAGCGUCAAUGAUUGCUGUGCUUUACUACUUUGAUCAUAGCGUUGCUUCUCAGCUUGCUCAGCAGAAAGAGUUCAAUUUGAGAAAACCUUCUUCUUACCACUACGACUUGCUUCUUCUUGGGUUUCUGACCUUAAUGUGUGGUCUACUUGGAGUCCCUCCAUCAAAUGGUGUCAUUCCUCAAUCUCCAAUGCACACCAAGAGCUUAGCAACUCUUAAAUAUCAGUUACUUCGUAACAGACUGGUUGCAACAGCAAGAAAAAGCAUCAAAACGAAUGCUAGUUUGGGGCAACUCUACAACAAUAUGCAAGAAGCUUAUCAUCACAUGCAGACACCAUUGGUAUACCAGCAACCUCAAGGUUUAAAAGAACUAAAAGAAUCAACAAUCCAAGCAACUACAUUCACCGGAAACCUCAACGCUCCAGUUGAUGAAACUCUAUUCGAUAUAGAGAAAGAGAUUGAUGAUUUGUUACCAGUGGAAGUCAAAGAGCAGCGUGUAAGCAACCUCCUUCAGUCCACAAUGGUAGGAGGAUGCGUUGCUGCUAUGCCUAUCCUUAAAAUGAUCCCAACCUCUGUCCUUUGGGGUUACUUCGCCUUCAUGGCUAUUGAGAGCUUACCUGGAAACCAGUUCUGGGAGAGAAUCUUACUUCUCUUCACCGCCCCAAGUCGCCGCUUCAAGGUUCUUGAAGACUACCACGCAACAUUCGUUGAAGCCGUUCCAUUCAGGAUGAUUGCAAUGUUCACUCCAAACGGUUUAUCUGUUAAUUUGCUUUGGUCUCAUAUGGAUCCCAAUAGCAGGAGUCAUGUUCCCUUUAAUGAUCAUGUUCUUGAUUCCUGUAAGACAAUACAUCCUCCCUAGAUUCUUCAAAAGAGCUCAUCUUCAAGACUUAGACUCAGCUGUAUAUGAAGAAGCUCCAGCUUUACCCUUCAAUCUCGCAGCGGAAAUGGAGAUUGGAUCGACAACUUCAUAUCCAGGAGACUCAGAGAUUCUUGAUGAGGUUAUUACACGAAGCAGAGGAGAGUUUAGACACACAAGUAGUCCUAAGGUCACAAGUUCAAGUCCGCCUGUUAAUAACAGGAGUUUAUCUCAAGUGUUUAGUCCACGAGUUGGUGAACUCAGGUCUGGUCAGAUGAGUCCUCGUGUCGUGUUGAGAGUAGUCCAAACCCGGCUAAUUGUGGGAGGAGUCCCUUGAACCAGUCCUCGUCGAAGUGAGAUUAUAUAUUCAAGAAGCUCAAUAAAACAAAACCCCAAUGACGAUGAAUAUUUAGUUAGUUAAUUUAAUUAGAUCGUUAGUUCUUAUAAGAAACAAAAGCUUCUUGAAAAUCUAUCUUUAGUUUUUAUGUGUUUGUAAUCCCUGUCCCUGGUGUUUUAUCUUUUGAGUC